GAGUGGCGGAAACCCUGAGACUCAGAGAAGCAUCGAGAACCGGAAGGAGACCUUAGGAGGAAGGUAAUGGCAGCGGCAGCUGCGCGGUGGAGGCCCCCACGCCCCUCCCUCCAGCGGCCCCCGGUUUCCUCACUUGGCAAUGGAUGGAGGCGGCGGAUCUCGCGAGAACCUCGUGGCCGGCUAACCGGAGCUCCGGGGCUGCAAUGACUUAAGGGCAGUUUUGUGCUCUCUUCCUGGCUGGGGCCCGCCCCCAAAUCCGCAAGGUAUCGCGAGAUGCGCCGGGAACCCCAGGUUCUCGCUGGGCGGGCCUUGGGCGGAAAGCACCGCCCCUGAGUGCUUAUGCUGGUGGGCGGGAGAGGAAAUGGAAUUCCCCAGGCUGGCCGGCGCGCGCGCUGACACGGCCCUCUCUCGGGCCGGCGUCCAAUCGGGAAUGGGCUGUGGGCGGGGCCGCCGGCCGGAGCGGGUUCCUGGUUUCCGGUGGCCCAGGUGAUGGAGAUUUCGUCCCGUGCUCCACCGAGAGGGUUGAGCAGCGGGAGGAGGCUCCCCUCAAAUUAGGAACGAAGCCGGGGUGCAAUGACUGGUGGGAAACACUGGACCCUACCAAUCAGGAACUCUCAACAUAUAGGGAGGACAAUGAAGAAGUUUCAAAGAAACCAGUUCCUGUGCCCUAAUCUAACAAGUUUCAACAUAAAAGUGCACUGAAACUUCACUGCUAUGCAACAAAGCACAGCAUACUGGAACAAAUAUGAGGUCAGAGUUCUUGUGUCUAAAAAUAUGUGGGUGGUUCAGUAACGCUGUUGACCCUUCUCAAAACAAUGUUUCAUAUGGGACUUCUCAGAAUGACUGACAGGCUGUGGUCCAGCUAAUCCAACAGUGGCUGUCUACCAUUGGAAGGUCCAGGAAUCCAGCAGUUGUGUAGCAGGAAUCUUAAAAGUUCUUAUUAAUAAAAUCAAACCUGAGCCAGGUAUUGGGGUGUACACUGGAAGAUCAGAGAGACAGAACAAGCCACAGCUUCCUCACCUGGCCAAUUCUUCAGGUGAUCCUGUUUCCUCAGACUGGAAGCCUCUGUGUCCUCAUAUCUGAAUGGCGCUCAGCUGAACUGUGCUGCCAGAAGCCUGAAAGCUUAACCAGCCAAAUGCUUAACCAGGCCAAAUGCUUCUAGUUUCUGGUCCUCACGUCUUAUGUACCUUUCUGCUUUCUACCAUCACUCCCUGGGAUUAAAGCCUCGCUUUCUGGGAUUAAAGGCAUGUGUCACCAUG